AUUGAACGCUGGCGGCAGGCCUAACACAUGCAAGUCGAGCGGAUGAAGGGAGCUUGCUCCUGGAUUCAGCGGCGGACGGGUGAGUAAUGCCUAGGAAUCUGCCUGGUAGUGGGGGAUAACGUCCGGAAACGGGCGCUAAUACCGCAUUCGUCCUGAGGGAGAAAGUGGGGGAUCUUCGGACCUCACGCUAUCAGAUGAGCCUAGGUCGGAUUAGCUAGUUGGUGGGGUAAAGGCCUACCAAGGCGACGAUCCGUAACUGGUCUGAGGGGAUGAUCAGUCACACUGGAACUGAGACACGGUCCAGACUCCUACGGGAGGCAGCAGUGGGGAAUAUUGGACAAUGGGCGAAAGCCUGAUCCAGCCAUGCCGCGUGUGUGAAGAAGGUCUUCGGAUUGUAAAGCACUUUAAGUUGGGAGGAAGGGCAGUAAGUUAAUACCUUGCUGUUUUGACGUUACCAACAGAAUAAGCACCGGCUAACUUCGUG
rnacentral:rRNA from 1 species